rnacentral:rRNA from 1 species
CCUACGGGUGGCAGCAGUGGGGAAUAUUGCGCAAUGGGCGAAAGCCUGACGCAGCGACGCCGCGUGAGGGAUGAAGGUCUUCGGAUCGUAAACCUCUGUCAGCAGGGAAGAACGGUCACUGUGCUAAUCAGCAGUGAAUUGACUGUACCUGCAAAGGAAGCACCGGCUAACGACGUGCCAGCAGCCGCGGUAAUACGGAGGGUGCGAGCGUUAAUCGGAAUUACUGGGCGUAAAGCGAGCGUAGGCGGAAAGUCAAGUCAAGGGUGAAAGCCCCGGGCUCAACGUGGGAACUGCCUUUGAAACUGGCAAACGAGAGGGUGGGAGAGGAUAGUGGAAUUCCAGGUGUAGGAGUGAAAUCCGUAGAUAUCUGGAGGAACAUCAGUGGCGAAGGCGACUAACUGGAACAUAACUGACGCUGAGGAGCGAAAGCGUGGGUAGCAAACAGGAUUAGAUACCCCAGUAGUC